rnacentral:rRNA from 1 species
AACGCGAAGAACCUUACCUGGGUUUGACAUGCACGUGAAAGCCCUGUGAAAGCAGGGCCCUCCUUCGGGACACGUGCACAGGUGCUGCAUGGCUGUCGUCAGCUCGUGUCGUGAGAUGUUGGGUUAAGUCCCGCAACGAGCGCAACCCUUGUCCCGUGUUACUAACAGGUAGAGCUGAGGACUCUCGGGAGACUGCCGGCGUCAAGCCGGAGGAAGGUGGGGACGACGUCAAGUCAUCAUGGCCCUUACGCCCAGGGCUACACACGUGCUACAAUGGCCAGGACAGAGGGCAGCGAGACCGCAAGGUGGAGCGAAUCCCAGAAACCUGGUCCAAGUUCGGAUUGUGGGCUGCAACUCGCCCGCAUGAAGCCGGAAUCGCUAGUAAUCGCGGAUCAGCUACGCCGCGGUGAAUACGUUCCCGGGCCUUGUACACACCG